rnacentral:lncRNA from 1 species
CCCUGAGAGGCCUCACACUUGAACUUAGAGGAAGAGUGAGUGGCCCUGGAGCUGGGCCUUCCAGUAGGAGCAGGGUUUCUGCAGGGAAGCAGAGAGAGGAGCCCGGGAGAAGGCACACGGGUUCUUCUCAGCCACCGUCAACAACCCCAGCUGCUACCAAGGUGCAAGAACACACAGGCUGCUGUGAAAGGACUGUAGGGGGCAAGGGCAGAGGAAGGGGCCAGCCAGGAGGCUUCCAAAAUAAUCCAGGAUCACAAGCGCUUGCCCAGUGCCUGGCAUGAGGAAACUGCCGCUCAGAGACGGCAGCCGACCCAGCCAAGGCCGCACAGCCAGGAUUCAAAGCCAUACCGCUCAGCUCCUGCCUCCAGGCUCUGCCUUUGCAUGUGGCUUC